UUUCAGCAAUGUAAGCUUUUUUGUCCGGUGUAGACCUUCAUUUUUCUUUUUUUUUGGUCGUAGUGUAGACCUUCAAUUGACAUUUUAUCUCCCUUUUGGCAGUACUCGUUUAUCACUGUCUUGGUAGAGAUAACACAGAUGGCUUAUCGUAUUUGCACAUAAAGAAUGCGGCCUUCUUCAAUGCAUGUUUUAUGCAUGUGUUGCUAUACAAGUCACAUGCCUUGUUUGCAUGCAGGCUAAAGUACAUAAUCUAGCCAGUGAUGAUUUCAGGAGUUCAAUAUUGGGGGCUGUUAAAGGCUGGUCCAGGCUGUGCCUCUUCAAUUUUCAAAGCCCUUCUCUCCUAUCUUGGCGAUUCUCAUGAUUAUGAUUGUCCAUCAUCUGGUCUCAAAUCACCCUUGGCUUCACGGCCAUCUUCAUGCUAUCCUGGAAUUGAUGCUCCCUCAGAAGGAUUGGUUCGAUGGCAGUUAUGGCUAGAGUAUUUUUCUUAUGAAACCUUACAAGGUUUAAGAAUUGCCAAACUUUCUGAGAUUAUAGUGGAUUUACCCGGAUAGGUACUCUGCUAAUCUUUUGCUUUUUUUCUCAUCUAAGGUUGCAGACAUGAAUUAUGAAAUUUAUUUUGCCAGAAAAGAUUUACGAUACUUGUGAUUGUUUCAA